rnacentral:lncRNA from 1 species
UACACUCGGCAAACUAUAGGGUUUGCCGAGUGUCUUUUCACACACUCGGCAAACAUAAUUUUUUUUCCCCUCCUUCACCCUCCAAACUUUUUACACUCCACAUGUAUGGCAUUUGGCACUGCAUGGUAGAAGAUGGACUAUUUUUUGACCUGUUUGCUAUAUUUAAUCAAUUAAUUUCAUUUGGAGUAAUUUUUUGAUUUAAGUCAAAUUUGAACUGCAGGUGGUUGGAAUAAUGGAAUAAUAUGAGUGAAAAAAUCAUAUUCAUGUUAGUGAGUCUAAAUUGAGGUCUCACCCAGAAAACGAAAAGAAAUUUCGAACAUGUUGCUAAGGAAACACGACUACGAACGUGUGGCCAAAUGAUUGUUUAAUUCUCAAAAAUACAAACGAAGUUUGAAAAUCAUGAGAUUUUGCAAGAUGCUUUGAUUUCGUAUGCAGAGGCCGUGGUAAAAAAUUGAUAAGGUUUCGCACAAGUUUUGACAUAUGAUGUUUACAAUUCGAAGCAUCUCCGGAGAGGUUUCAGAGAAGUUCAAAGGAUCCGGUAAGAUUUUGAGAUGAAUCGAUAAA